UUUUUUUUUGUUUUUGUGUGGUAGAAACAUAAAAGUAAAAGCAUGUUUUAUAACUUUAUAAUAUUUUUAUUUUAUAAAAUAUUAGAUGGUGUUGAAAUCUUCAAGUUGCAUGGCUCAAGUGUUAUUGUGGAUGGAUAUUUUGCAAGUACUCAUUUGCAAUGUUUUACUCAAGUGAAGGUGCAAAAUGUUCUUUAAAUGAAGUAGUGUUUAUUGACACUCCACAAUCAGAUACGUGCUCUAACUAGUGAAGGAAAAAGAUUAGCAGCUUAUUUGACAGGAACAACAAAUACUCUUGAUUAUUUUGCACCCUCACCUCCUCAAUUACAUGUUCAUGGUAAAACAGAGAUUUCUAUUGAGUGGGAUCCUCCUAAAAAUCUUCUUGGCAGAUAAAAUUAUUAUGAACUUAAAAUGGAUAACAUGAUGUAAUUACAUCUGUAGGAAAUUCUUCCAGAUGUUAUUGGCUUUUGUGAAAAAUUACAAGACGUAGUUACUUCCAUCGAAAGAUGUUGUUAGGGGUCGUUGAUUUUCCAGAUGAUAUUGGACAGAUGUUAUUAGAGUAAAAAAAAUACAGAUGAUCUUGGACAAAAUUGCACAGAUGAUCUUGGACUAGUCCACAGAUGUUUUUGGACAGGUGUAGUAAUCUUUUAUCCAAAUUUCCAGAAUGCUUUCAAGAGAAAUAGAUGGCAGAGAGCUUUUGAUCAUGUCUGUCACCAAUAGCUGUACCAGUUUAUUUU